rnacentral:tRNA from 1 species
GCCGGAGUGGUGAAAUUGGCAUACACGCAAGGUUUAGGACCUUGUGCCCGUAAGGGCUUGUGGGUUCAACUCCCACCUCCGGCA